rnacentral:rRNA from 1 species
CGCGGCCUAUCAGCUUGUUGGUGGGGUAACGGCCUACCAAGGCGACGACGGGUAGCCGGCCUGAGAGGGCGACCGGCCACACUGGGACUGAGACACGGCCCAGACUCCUACGGGAGGCAGCAGUGGGGAAUAUUGCGCAAUGGGCGAAAGCCUGACGCAGCGACGCCGCGCGGGGGAUGAAGGCCUUCGGGUUGCAAACCCCUUUCAGCAGGGACGAAGCGAAAGUGACGGUACCUGCAGAAGAAGCGCCGGCUAACUACGUGCCAGCAGCCGCGGUAACACGUAGGGCGCAAGCGUUGUCCGGAAUUAUUGGGCGUAAAGAGCUCGUAGGCGGUCUGUUGCGUCCGCUGUGAAAACUCGGGGCUUAACCCCGAGCCUGCAGUGGAUACGGGCAGACUAGAGGUAGGUAGGGGAGAAUGGAAUUCCCGGUGUAGCGGUGAAAUGCGCAGAUAUCGGGAGGAACACCGGUGGCGAAGGCGGUUCUCUGGGCCUUACCUGACGCUGAGGAGCGAAAGCGUGGGGAGCGAACAGGAUUAGAUACCCUGGUAGUCCACGCCGUAAACGUUGGGCGCUAGGUGUGGGAUCCUUC